rnacentral:rRNA from 1 species
GACGAACCGUGCGAACGUUGUUCGGAAUCACUGGGCUUAAAGGGCGCGUAGGCGGGCGGCCAAGUCGAGGGUGAAAGCCCCCAGCUCAACUGGGGAAGUGCCUCCGAUACUGGCCAUCUCGAGGGAGGUAGGGGCGUGCGGAACUUCCGGUGGAGCGGUGAAAUGCGUAGAUAUCUGGAGGAAUACCGGCGGCGAAGGCGGCAUCCUGGACCGGCAUUGACGCUGAGUGAGCGAAAGCCAGGGGAGCAAACGGG